rnacentral:rRNA from 1 species
UACGUAGGGGGCAAGCGUUAUCCAGAUUUACUGGGCGUAAAGCGCGUGUAGGCGGCUGGUUAGGUGUGAUGUGAAAUCUUCGGGCUCAACCCGAAAACUGCAUUGCAAACCGGCCUGGCUAGAGUGCAGGAGAGGGAAGCGGAAUUCCAGGUGUAGCGGUGAAAUGCGUAGAUAUCGGGAGGAACACCUGUGGCGAAAGCGGCUCACUGGACCACAACUGACGCUGAGGCGCGAAAGCUAGGGGAGCAAACAGG